UUUAGUCCUCAACAAACACACAGUGUUCUCAUGCUUUGGAUACAAAUUGAAAAUGAUACAGUCCUUUUUUCAGAACUUCACACUCAGCUGUGGAAGAUAAGUACAAAACUUCUCAGUGUAAUACAUGGUGCAUAAAUAAUAGACAGAAGGAAAACAGAAUUAAGAGAGAACUACAAUACCC
rnacentral:lncRNA from 1 species